AUCGCUUCUCGGCCUUUUGGCUAAGAUCAAGUGUAGUAACACCAGACUCCUUGGGGUCUGCAUUCUCAUUUAUUUAGAAAUCCCUU
rnacentral:snRNA from 1 species